rnacentral:lncRNA from 1 species
GGAGGAAGGGCGAGAUCCGUAAAGCCAGAGUUGGAAAGGGACGGAGGGGCGGGGCCCCGGGAAACAGAAGGGGCCGGCCUAUCGGUGGGUAGGGCUGGGGAGGGAGGCUGAGCGAGUUCGGUACACACAGGUUACACGUGUUCGACUGAGUAAUAUAGGGGAGAAAAAAAAGAAGGAAAGAGAAUCCUUACAGGUGCCUGAAGCAGUCGAGACCAAAAAGGGAUAACCCCUGUGACAUUUUACAAAAAUCAAUUAACGGAGGGAAUUGGCCAACAAAAAUGGCAUAGAAGAAAAACAAAAAGUGGUAACACAGGAAGUGUUCAAACUGAAUGUAAACAGAGUUUAAAAAAUAUAGCUGAGCAAGGAAAUGUUGACACUGGAGCCAUUCUGGAGACUCAAGAUGAGCAACCAAAGCAACUUAGUGAAGGGACAUUAGUCUUCUUCUGCACUUGGACUGAAACUUACACCAUCAGCUCUCCUGGUUCUCAGGCCUUCAGACUUGGACACAAACUAUACCACUGGCUAUCCUGGGCCUCCAGUUUGCAGACAGCAGAUUGUGGGACAUCUCAGCUUCCAUAAUUGCAUGAGCCAAUUAGUUAUUUAUUUAUAAUAAAUUAAUAUAUAAUCAAA